rnacentral:rRNA from 1 species
AUUGAACGCUGGCGGCAGGCCUAACACAUGCAAGUCGAGCGGAGCGGCGGACGGGUACGUAAUGCCAAGGAAUCUGCCUGGUAGCGGGGGAUGACGACCGGUACCGGGCGCUAAUACUGCAUACUAUCAGAUGAGCCUAGGUCGGAUUAGCUAGUUGGUGGGGUAAAGGCCUACCAAGGCGACGAUCCGUAACUGGUCUGAGAGGAAGAUCAGUCACACUGGGACUGAGACACGGUCCAGACUCCUACGGGAGGCAGCAGUGGGGAAUUUUGGACAAUGGGCGAAAUCCUGAUCCAGCCAUGCCGCGUGUGUGAAGAAGGUCUUCGGAUUGUAAAGCACUUUAAGUUGAGAGGCGUUACCAACAGAAUAAGCACCGGCUAACUUCGUGCCAGCAGCCGCGGUAAUAC